AUGCAAGUCGACGGUAACAGGCUAAUGUGAUCCCUUCGGGGUGAACUGUGCGCUGACGAGUGGCGGACGGGUGAGUAAUACAUAGGAAUCUACCCAGUAGUGGGGGAUAACUUGGAGAAAUCCAUGCUAAUACCGCAUAUGCCCUACGGGGCAAAGCAGGGGACCCUCGGGCCUUGCGCUAUUGGAUGAGCCUAUGUCGGAUUAGCUAGUUGGUGGGGUAAAGGCCUACCAAGGCAACGAUCCGUAGCUGGUCUGAGAGGAUGAUCAGCCACACUGGGACUGAGACACGGCCCAGACUCCUACGGGAGGCAGCAGUGGGGAAUAUUGCACAAUGGGCGCAAGCCUGAUGCAGCAAUGCCGCGUGUGUGAAGAAGGCCUGCGGGUUGUAAAGCACUUUUAUUGGGAAAGAAAAACCCGGAGUUAAUACCUCCGGCAUUGACGGUACCCGAAGAAUAAGCACCGGCUAACUCAGUGCCAGCAGCCGCGGUAAU
rnacentral:rRNA from 1 species